rnacentral:rRNA from 1 species
AUUGAACGCUGGCGGCAGGCUUAACACAUGCAAGUCGAACGAGUGGCGGACGGGUGAGUAAUGCCUGGGAAUCUACCUGAUGGAGGGGGAUAACUACGGGAAACGGUAGCUAAUACCGCGUACCAUAGGAUGAGCCCAAGUGGGAUUAGGUAGUUGGUGGGGUAAAGGCUCACCAAGGCGACGAUCCCUAGCUGGUCUGAGAGGAUGACCAGCAACACUGGGACUGAGACACGGCCCAGACUCCUACGGGAGGCAGCAGUGGGGAAUAUUGCACAAUGGGGGCAACCCUGAUGCAGCCAUGCCGCGUGAAUGAAGAAGGCCUUCGGGUUGUAAAGUACUUUCAUCGAGGAGGCGUUACUCGCAGAAGAAGCACCGGCUAACUCCGUGCCAGCAGCCGCGGUAAUAC